rnacentral:lncRNA from 1 species
UUUGUGGAUGCAAAUUUCCACCUUCUUCUUCUUGGAUGAAAAUGCACCUAUAAAACAAUCAACGCCUAAGAUCAAGGCCAAGAGCCUCACGCACCCAUGAUGAAUGGGGGGUUUUGGCCGAAAAAUCUCCGAUGCCAAAGUUAGAAUUUGAGAGAAAGUGUUUAGAGAAUUUUUUUUAAGAGAAUUGGACUUAGGUUUUUGGAGAAAAUGAGGGGCUAUAUAUAGGGGUGUGGCCGACCCUAUUAGGAGGAUUAGGACCGGCCACAUAUGGUUGAUUUGUGGGAUUGAUUGCAAGAUAUUAUGUG